AACCACAAAAAACCACAACAGUCUGUUUCAUCCGUAUAGAUGAUUCCAAUACGGAUGAAACAGACUGUUGUGGAUUUU